rnacentral:rRNA from 1 species
GGGGGAUAGCCCGGCGAAAGCCGGAUUAAUACCGCAUACGACCUACGGGUGAAAGCGGGGGAUCGCAAGACCUCGCGUUAUUGGAGCGGCCGAUAUCAGAUUAGCUUGUUGGUGGGGUGAAAGCCCACCAAGGCGACGAUCUGUAGCUGGUCUGAGAGGACGACCAGCCACACUGGGACUGAGACACGGCCCAGACUCCCACGGGAGGCAGCAGUGGGGAAUUUUGGACAAUGGGCGCAAGCCUGAUCCAGCCAUGCCGCGUGUGGGAAGAAGGCCUUCGGGUUGUAAACCACUUUUGUCAGGGAAGAAACGGCCCGAUCUAAUACAUUGGGCUAAUGACGGUACCUGAAGAAUAAGCACCGGCUAACUACGUGCCAGCAGCCGCGGUAAUACGUAGGGUGCAAGCGUUAAUCGGAAUUACUGGGCGUAAAGCGUGCGCAGGCGGCUUUGCAAGACAGAUGUGAAAUCCCCGGGCUCAACCUGGGAACUGCAUUUGUGACUGCAUGGCUAGAGUACGGUAGAGGGGGAUGGAAUUCCGCGUGUAGCAGUGAAAUGCGUAGAUAUGCGGAGGAACACCGAUGGCGAAGGCAAUCCCCUGGACCUGUACUGACGCUCAUGCACGAAAGCGUGGGGAGCAAACAGGAUUAGAUACCCCGGUAGUCCACGCCCUAAACGAUGUCAACUGGUUGUUGGACGGCUUGCUGUUCAGUAACGAAGCUAACGCGUGAAGUUGACCGCCUGGGGAGUACGGCCGCAAGGUUGAAACUCAAAGGAAUUGACGGGGACCCGCACAAGCGGUGGAUGAUGUGGUUUAAUUCGAUGCAACGCGAAAAACCUUACCUACCCUUGACAUGUCUAGAAGUUUCCAGAGAUGGAUUCGUGCUCGAAAGAGAACUAGAACACAGGUGCUGCAUGGCCGUCGUCAGCUCGUGUCGUGAGAUGUUGGGUUAAGUCCCGCAACGAGCGCAACCCUUAUCAUUAGUUGCUACGCAAGGGCACUCUAAUGAGACUGCCGGUGACAAACCGGAGGAAGGUGGGGAUGACGUCAGGUCAUCAUGGCCCUUAUGGGUAGGGCUACACACGUCAUACAAUGGCCGGUACAGAGGGCUGCCAACCCGCGAGGGGGAGCUAAUCUCAGAAAACCGGUCGUAGUCCGGAUCGCAGUCUGCAACUCGACUGCGUGAAGUCGGGAUCGCUAGUAAUCGCGGAUCAGCUUGCCGCGGUGAAUACGUUCCCGGGUCUUGUACACACCGCCCGUCACACCAUGGGAGCGGGUUCUGCCAGAAGUAGUUAGCCUAACCGCAAGGAGGGCGAUUACCACGGCAGGGUUCGUGACUG